UCGCAACCCGGGUGAGCCCCAUUCCCA
rnacentral:sRNA from 1 species